GAUGAACGCUGGCGGCGUGCCUAAUACAUGCGAGUCGAGCGAACAGACGAGGAGCUUGCUCCUCUGACGUUAGCGGCGGACGGGUGAGUAACACGUGGAUAACCUACCUAUAAGACUGGGAUAACUUCGGGAAACCGGAGCUAAUACCGGAUAAUAUAUUGAACCGCAUGGUUCAAUAGUGAAAGACGGUUUUGCUGUCACUUAUAGAUGGAUCCGCGCCUCAUUAGCUAGUUGGUAAGGUAACGGCUUACCAAGGCAACGAUGCGUAGCCGACCUGAGAGGGUGAUCGGCCACACUGGAACUGAGACACGGUCCAGACUCCUACGGGAGGCAGCAGUAGGGAAUCUUCCGCAAUGGGCGAAAGCCUGACGGAGCACCGCCGCGUGAGUGAUGAAGGUCUUCGGAUCGUAAAACUCUGUUAUUAGGGAAGAACAAAUGUGUAAGUAACUAUGCACGUCUUGACGGUACCUAAUCAGAAAGCCACGGCUAACUACGUG
rnacentral:rRNA from 1 species